rnacentral:misc_RNA from 1 species
AAAAUACCCAUUUUUCAUCAAAAGAACUCAAAAAAAAAUGGAUCUUCUCUUGCUGGAGAAGACCUUAAUAGGUCUUUUCUUUGCCAUUUUAAUCGCUAUUAUCAUCUCUAAACUUCGUUCCAAGCGAUUCAAACUACCCCCAGGUCCAAUUCCAGUUCCAAUUUUUGGGAAUUGGCUUCAAGUUGGUGAUGAUUUGAACCAUAGAAACCUUACUGAGUAUGCUAAAAAAUUUGGUGAUGUGUUCUUGCUUAGAAUGGGGCAAAGGAACUUAGCUGUUGUGUCAUCUCCUGAAUUAGCUAAAGAAGUUUUACACACACAAGGGGUUGAAUUUGGUUCAAGAACAAGAAAUGUUGUUUUUGAUAUUUUUACAGGGAAGGGUCAAGAUAUGGUUUUUACAGUGUAUGGUGAGCACUGGAGGAAAAUGAGGAGGAUUAUGACUGUACCCUUUUUUACUAAUAAGGUGGUGCAGCAGUAUAGAGGUGGGUGGGAGUCUGAGGCUGCCAGUGUAGUUGAGGAUGUGAAGAAAAACCCUGAAUCUGCUACAAAUGGGAUUGUUUUGAGGAAAAGAUUGCAGCUUAUGAUGUAUAAUAACAUGUUUAGGAUUAUGUUUGAUAGGAGAUUUGAGAGUGAAGAUGAUCCCCUUUUUGUUAAGCUUAGGGCUUUGAAUGGUGAGAGGAGUAGAUUGGCACAGAGCUUUGAGUACAACUAUG